rnacentral:tRNA from 1 species
ACUGGGUUGGCCGAUUGGUUAAGGCGUUGGACUUAAGUUCCAAUGGACAAGUGUCCGCGUGGGUUCGAACCCCACACCCAGUA